rnacentral:lncRNA from 1 species
GGGAAAACAUGCAAAAUAGAGAUUUUCCAAAUCCUGCAACUGGACCUAACAUGAGUGCACCAGCUCCAGGUGGUAUGCCUCCCAACAACUUUAAUCCCAGCAUGCCUCCUCACAACCGCCAAGGCGAUUAUCCAGGAGGACCACCACCUCCGAACAAUUUUAACAGACCACCACCGCCACCACCGCACAACUACAGCGGACCACCACCACCACCACCACACAACUUCAGCGGACCACCACCACCACCACCACACAACUUCAGCGGACCACCACCACCACCACCGCACAACUUCAACGGACCACCACCACCACCACCGCACAACUUCAACGGACCACCACCACCACCGUACAACUUCAACGGGCCACCACCUCCUCCACCAAACAACUUCAACGGACCACCACCUCCUCCACCGAACAACUUCAACGGACCACCACCACGCAACUAUGCUUCAGCAUCACCAAAUCACGGAGGAGGAGGAGGAGGAGCACCCCACAACUAUGGGGGGCCACAGGAAAACAACUAUUGGGGAGCACAGCAGCCAAACAACUAUGGUGGACCUUCAAACUCUGGCCGGGGACCUGCAUAGAACAACUACUAUGAAGGGGUAAAAAAAGGCUAAUGGUGGUGGAUGGUCUAAUAUGUGCAUAAAAAUCAAGAAGAAUAGUCUAGGCGGUCAGGGUAGUCUAACGGUGGUGGCUGGUCACUGCAUUUUCGUUUUGGUGCUACAAACGAUGAGUUUAAUUUUGCUUUAUGAGUCGGCAUUUGUUUAAAAUCUGUUUAAGUCUUGUGUACAAUUUAAU